UGCACCGAGAUUCAACAUGGAACGAGUGGCGGACGGGUGAGUAACACGUGGGUAACCUGCCCUUAAGUGGGGGAUAACAUUUGGAAACAGAUGCUAAUACCGCAUAGAUCCAAGAACCGCAUGGUUCUUGGCUGAAAGAUGGCGUAAGCUAUCGCUUUUGGAUGGACCCGCGGCGUAUUAGCUAGUUGGUGAGGUAAUGGCUCACCAAGGCGAUGAUACGUAGCCGAACUGAGAGGUUGAUCGGCCACAUUGGGACUGAGACACGGCCCAAACUCCUACGGGAGGCAGCAGUAGGGAAUCUUCCACAAUGGACGCAAGUCUGAUGGAGCAACGCCGCGUGAGUGAAGAAGGCUUUCGGGUCGUAAAACUCUGUUGUUGGAGAAGAAUGGUCGGCAGAGUAACUGUUGCCGGCGUGACGGUAUCCAACCAGAAAGCCACGGCUAACUACGUGCCAGCAGCCGCGGUAAUACGUAGGUGGCAAGCGUUAUCCGGAUUUAUUGGGCGUAAAGCGAGCGCAGGC
rnacentral:rRNA from 1 species